CUGGUAUUCAUAAGGGAGGAGGAGGCACUCACGGUGGAGUGGAGAGGCGGUGGCAGCUCUCAUUUGAAACAAUUUAUUUCGGUGGAAAGUGUGGAACUGCUGGAGGAGAACAGUGGGAAGUGAGACUUGUUUCCACAUGGCUUGUAACAUAGACGCCACGGAAGUAGCUCUGUGACUCACUGGGACAUCCAGCCAGUGAAGGACUGACCUCUAUCAAGACACCCAUGUCGACUGGAUUCCCACUGUGAAAGUCAGCAAUCCUGCAGCAGCAUCAGUCUCUACUUCUACUUCGUCCUUUUCCAGAUAUGAAAUGAGACAUCCCUCAGUUAGACAAAACGGUUGUCAAUCUGAAUGAUUCUGGUGUGCCAUACAUUUCACGACCUAGAUUACAUGGAUUGGAUUUGCACUAAACAAUUUUAUGCCAGCACAAGGUGUGUGGGAGGACAAGACAAAACAAAUGGAAAAUCAAAAAUGGAUCAAGGAUGGCUAGAAGACCGGCAACGCCGACCGCCAAAUGCCACCCGAACAAGGAGAGGAACCAACUUCGGCGGAAGUCGUGACAGGUCACAUACACAUGGUUAGCAAAUGUUGAUGCGAUUGUAGCGAAAUGCCUGUGCUUCUAGUUCCGACAGUGCAGUAAUUUCUAACAGGUAAUCUAACAGUUCCACAACAACUACCUUAUACACACAAGUGUAAAGGGAUGAAUAAGAAUAUGUACAUAUAAAUGUAUGGAUGAGCGAUGGCCGUGCGGCAUAGGCAAGAUGCAGUAGAUGGUAUAAAGUACAGUAUAUACAUAUGAGAUGAGUAAUGUAGGGUAUGUAUUCAUUUUAUAAAGUGGCAUUGUUUAAAUUGACUAGUGAUACAUUUAUUACAUCC
ensembl:lncRNA